rnacentral:rRNA from 1 species
UGGGGAAUAUUGGACAAUGGGCGAAAGCCUGAUCCAGCCAUGCCGCGUGUGUGAAGAAGGUCUUCGGAUUGUAAAGCACUUUAAGUUGGGAGGAAGGGCAGUAAGCGAAUACCUUGCUGUUUUGACGUUACCGACAGAAUAAGCACCGGCUAACUCUGUGCCAGCAGCCGCGGUAAUACAGAGGGUGCAAGCGUUAAUCGGAAUUACUGGGCGUAAAGCGCGCGUAGGUGGGUCGUUAAGUUGAAUGUGAAAGCCCCGGGCUCAACCUGGGAACUGCAUCCAAAACUGGCGAGCUAGAGUAGGGCAGAGGGUGGUGGAAUUGCCUGUGUAGCGGUGAAAUGCGUAGAUAUAGAAAGGAACACCAGUGGCGAAGGCGACCACCUGGGCUAAUACUGACACUGAGGUGCGAAAGCGUGGGGAGCAAACAGG